rnacentral:rRNA from 1 species
UACAGAGGUCUCAAGCGUUGUUCGGAUUCAUUGGGCGUAAAGGGUGCGUAGGCGGGCAUGUAAGUCAGUGGUGAAAUCUCCGGGCUUAACCCGGAAAUUGCCGUUGAUACUAUGUGUCUUGAAUAUCGUUGAGGUUUGCGGAAUAUGUCAUGUAGCGGUGAAAUGCUUAGAUAUGACAUAGAACACCAAUUGCGAAGGCAGCAGGCUAAACGAACAUUGACGCUGAGGCACGAAAGCGUGGGGAUCAAACAGG